CAUGUUUACUUAUGCAUGUAGUCUAACUACAAAAAUCCCUCAUGUAUCUUUUAAAAUCAGUGUCUUAGGGUGAUGUAAUGAUGUUUGUAUCCUCAAUCGUCUGUUUGGUUUGUGCUGGAUAUUGCAUUCUGUGCCUUUAAGACUGGGUCUGGCAGCAGAGGAGGAGGGGGAGAAGCACCCAGUUUGUUUUCAGAGACUGCACUACGUAUUCCACAUUCCGGUCUGGAGUGUUGUCUGCUACACGGACAAGCGGUGGUGGGCACAGAGAUUUUUUUUUUUCCCCUUUUCUUUUUCAUUAGUUAGUUUAGCUAGCUGAGGCACAAAAGCUUUGAUGGACUGUUUUUCUCUGCUUUUCCUGGAACUGUUUGAACCUGCUCUGGACUGGAGACCCGGGGGAGCACCGGGGGCUUGUGCCUGGGACCCACCGGGGCAGACCCUUCACAGCAGCUUUUCCCAGCACCGGAGGGACUGAGAACAGAGCAACCACCUACAGCAGAGACUUUCUCUGAAUUUGUCAUCUGGAAGCUCAGCUGGCACAGCCCACUGCCUUUGGACUUUGCUGUUCGUAACAUCCAACCUGGGGAUUUAGGGCUGGUUAAGGAGUAAAAAGAAGCACCACUGGUGGCAAAGUGGCAUGGACCUUUCCAAGUGUCAGUGACCACAGAAACAGCUGUCAAGACAGUUGAACACAGGUGGACCUAUCACACUCUCGUCAUGGUCUCCAAGGCCCUGGAGACUUGAACAUCUUAUCUGGAAGAGAAGGACAGGAGGCCAUGACUGACACUGCAGGAGUGGUCUGGAGCAGCAGCCAGUGCGUCGACAUUUAGAGUGGCACCAUGUGCCUACAGACUGUUUGCUGAAAUAGUCUGUAUGAGCAUCCCUCCUUUAGAAUCUCCCCACCCCAUGGGGCUACUACUUGCUGUUGUUUUCUUUAACUUAAGUGGCUUCUGUGCCUUCACUCACCACAAGUGGUAUGUAAAACAAGGUGAAAAUUUGUCUAGGUCGUUAAAAUACAUUAUUAGAAUAUUUUCUUUAUUAAUUCUACUUUUAUAUUGUCAGCUAAGUUUAGGCCAGGAGUGAAAGAAUCAAUUUGCAGCCUUAGGAGAAGAAGUAGCAAGAGUUUUUAACCUUAGCAAUUGCUGGAUCCAGGGAGAGCCAGGAGGAUCUGAAGAGUGGCCAUGAAUGGCUAGCUCAGUUGAACCUAAAUGGUGGCUCAACACCCUAACUGAGGUCCAUAAUGGGACAGAAUUUAGGGACAAAGAAAGAAGUCCAUGGCCACUUCGUUAUUCUGAAACAGGCACUUAUUGCCGAAAUAGGAUGAGGGGAUCUCUAUAGGAGAAGUGUUUGUGAAUUGACUUUAUCUUUGGGUUGAAACAAUUGUGUUUGGACUCCCAAUUAUCCUCCUUACAAUUGUUCCAAAUAUCAAAGUAAAUGCAAUCAAAUGCCUGUUAAGCUAAUGGUAGCUGGGUAAGGUGUUCCUACCAUAAUUAAUGAAAAGAUUUUGAAGACUGUAAAGCAGUGGGGAGGGACAAGGGGUUUUUUGGACCACCUAUUCUUAAGCUGUCCCCAAGAAAAUUUCACAAGUAGAGCACAUGUUGUUUGUGAUUAUCAGUGGAAAUGGCAACACCAGAAUGAAACUUGAAUCCUGUUUAAUGAGUUCUGGUCCAAAUCCGAACAAACAGCUUGCAGAUGUAAAUGUAGAUGGGAACCCCAUGUGGGAGUUUGGAAAUGCAAAUAAUGUGUCCCUUAUGGUGAGGCAACUGUUGUUGGAGGACCAUUAGGACCAGAAAACAAGCUGUAUUUUGAGCCACCAAUUGAUGACAAAGGGUAGGAAGGCCCCUUUGCUAAUGGAACAUGGGCUUUGAAAGGACAUUAUUGGAUUUGGGGCCAACGCUUAUUGCAGGUUACUUUCAAAUUGCUCAAGGAUAUGUUAUAGGGGGCAUAUUAGACCGUUGUCCUUUUUACUCACACAAGUUCAGGGAAAUCAUUUAGGAAUCAAAACCUACGAUGUUUAAGUAGAGAAAACCAAUCAAUUGAUGCAGUACUGGCUGGAGGGAGCACCCCAGAAUGGGGAAAAUGUCAAUGGCCACCAGAAAGAAUUAUACUGCACUAUGGACUAGCCACUUGGAAUCCUUAUGAAUUAAUAUCAGAUGCCAGAGAACCCAUUUAUAAUUUGAAUGGGAUAAUUAGGUUACAAGCUGUCUUUGAAACAAUAACCAACCAGACAGCUACAGCUCUUGACCUUCUUGCUGACCAAUCCACUCAAAUGAAGAAUGCAAUAUUUCAACAUUGGACGGUAUUAGAUUAUUUAUUAACAGAAAAUGGAGGAGUUUGUGGCAAAUUAAAUGAUUCAGACUGCUGCUGGCAAAGAGAUGGCAACAGAAAAUUGAUCAAAAAAAAAUAACAGUGGAAAUAAAGUUACCUCAUGUACCUGUCCAAGUGUGGAAAAGAUGGGAAUGAGACAUAUUUUCAUGGUUACCUCGCAAUCUGUGGGUUAAAUGAAUACAAUUCCUCUUCUUAUGUACUAAAGCAACUCUAACCCUUUUACCAUGCAUGACACCUUGCUGAGUUCAACUCUUUCAGCAGGUGAUCAAGGGGAUGCAGGUAGUAGACACGCCUAUGGAUACAGAAAUGAAUACAAAAGGAUGGAAAAUUAUGUCACUGGAAACACAUGAAAAAGCAAAGGAGACCCAGGAAGAAAAUCUUUUACCAAUAUGGUUUAAAAAAAAGGUAAUUAUGGUCUGUAAAGACAAAUACAAAGAAAAUAAAAGGAGGAGGGAUUGGAAGGAAUAAGAUUAAUGUGUCUUUACAAACAGACGGUGUGAAUCUACUUUUAGACAAGGCCAGGAACUUCUAGACAGUGAAGUAACGGAAGAAACUCUUAGGUCUAGAAACUGUUACUAAGCAACACAGAUUGUUGCUCAGCCAAGGCCAUGUUAAAUUCCUGAACCCAGAGCAAGAGAAGAGAAACUUCAUAGAAUUAGGAAGAGUUUCUUUUUCUUUCUUUUAUAUAACAGAAGUGAGAGUGCAUAUUAGAGUGGGGCAUAGAGUAGGCAAUUCAGGAAGUCUCUACCUUCUGAUUACUUCAACCAGUGAGGAAAAGGAAGAGGGUGAUGCAGUGGAGAACUCAGUAUAAAAAGGGGGCUUUAUCCACCAACCAUUUGGGAGACCUGAUGGGAAAUGCCCCCAUGGCCUCUCCCUUUAUUCAAAUAAGGUUACAGGACUCUUCUAACAGGACUCUUGGACAUAAACUUCUGCCAUUGUGCAUUAAUUUUUCUAACAGCAGCUAUCUGCCACGGGGUCUUCGUGCGCCCCCACAGCCCUCCAGUCCCCUGGCAGCUCCCCUGCCCGGGACUGCCCGCAGCACUCCGUUCCCUCCCCAGAGCUGCCUGUGGGCUACAGAGCCUUCUCACUACUGGCACCAGCAGGGCCAGGGUCCCCUCUUGACAGCAGUCGAGAGGUUGCAGAGCAGGCAGCUGCGGAACCAUCAACCAUUUUACGCUACGCGGUGCUGCCUCCUCCGUCUUUCCAUCGCCCCUUUUGCUGGUCCCACGGCUGUGCACUCACGGGUGCACCCCGGCUCUGCCCAGCUCUCAGCAGGCCUGGCCGUCGGUGCACCAAGCAUUGCGCCGUGGGCUGCGGGGCAGGCGGGCUGGGCUGGUGUGGCUGUGGUAGCACCAGGAGAGGAACCCCGAGGCAGGGCUGUGAGUGGCAAUGCACUGUGCAUUUCUGCUUCCUGUUGUGAUAAAUGAAUAUGAUUCGUGCUAAUUAAAUUGUAACUAGAUCAAUAUUUUAGAAAAUAGUGGUUAGUAAAGGAAAAGUAUAUGUGGUUAGUGUUACAAAGCAGAUGGGCCCCCUUUUGCAGAAGUUUCAUGAGAAAAUAAGAUAACAGGAUGUAGCUGAGGUAAGUAAAAUCCCAAAACCGAAUAGGCUUUGGGAUAAUUAGAGAAUUGACCUUGGAAAGAGUGAAGUUGGCAUGAUUCCAGGUAUGGAAUCUAAGUUGUGCUUUUAUUUAUGAUAUAAUGAGGCUUAUUUUUGGAAUAUAAUGCUUCCUUAUACAACACAAAGCUUAAAGCACAUGUGCAACCUGUAAGCCUAUCUAGAGGACAGCAAAGAAGAUGACAGCCUUUGUCGGAAAGACCACCAAAAACGGCCAAGAGGCUCCCCCCCAACAAUGAGUGGAGCAUGCGCUAUGAAGUGUAGUGAUGUAGAUUUCAAGAAUGGAAAAUAGGAGAUUUACGGAAAGUAUUAAUGAAUAUGUAUUAGCAUAACAGUAUAUAAGCGUAGUUUGGAUUACUCUGUUUCGUACAUGAGGAGGGAGAUGGUCCCUCUUGGUACCCCAAUUGGUUUUGCUUAUGCCUUAUCAGAACCUUAAUCAGACUUAAUUAACCACUGCCAAGUUUACUUUGUAUAUGCUUGUAUUCAUCUCAAUUAAAACUGCUGCUAAAAUCUAAUUUUGUUGUUUAUGGGACUUCAUUCAUAACACUGUUGCUCAUCGGCGGCCCAGCAGGUGUCAUGUGACCCAGCGGAGCAGCAAGGCCAGCUGGGCAGUGCACAGCCAGGCGUGCAGUGUGUGGCAGCCGCAGCGAGGGGCUUCUGACACUGCCAGUGCGCGUGGUGAGAGUGGAGCUAGGGCAGUGAGGGGUGGCUGCCUUUGCAGAGCCCUCCCUGCCACGCCUGGCCGAUUCUGGUGAACCCGUGGCCCCGCAGCAGCGUAGACCGUCAGGCGUGGAGAGCGCGCUUGGUGCCUUGCCAGCUACUCCAGCUGAGCGCUACACUCCCCCGCAGCGUUUUCCCACCUGUCCUCAGGAGACGUAAAGGACACUGAAUUUGCAGGUUGGCUGUCAAUGGGAGCAACUUCCCUCCAUUUUUUCUCCCGCAAUUCAGCUACCUUGUGGUACAUGCAGUGGUGCUGAACAGGGGUGGUUUGGCACAGACGCUGGCAGAGGUGGUGCAAGAGCUCAAGGCAAGGAGCUUUCAGUGGUGUGUGUGAGUGUGAAAAACAUGGUUCACCUUUGUUAAAAUUCUGAAAGUUUAAUAAUAAAAAUCAGACAAUAAGAGACAAAAAAGAGCAAAAGUUACAGACGUCUGGGUGCCUGGCAUUUCCAUCUCAAGGCACCCCUUGCAACCAAAGGAUCUUCCCUUUAAAACCAUAAGCUAUUGCAUAUUCAUAAAUCUUAUACAUGAUUCAAAUAUGCUUUUUGACUCUGGAUAUUUUCUGCUUAGUCUCAGCUUUUCUCCCCCAUCCCCCUGUAAAUCACUUCUUCCCGUCACUCCACAAAGUCUCAAAUUCCCUGAUAAUGGAGGCAAUAAAUUCUCUCUUUUGGGAUUUUAGUACCUGCUGCUGUUAUCUCUAUCCAGAUAGGAUGAUGUGAAGAAUUUAAUUGUCUUCUUUAUUUCUUGAGGUAGUUACGUGGCCUGUUGGUGAAUUAAGUGUAGCAGUUUAUAUGUGUGAAAAACAAGGUGCACUUUUUUGGUAAAAUUUAAAAAUUUUAAUAAAAAGACAAUAGAAGACGGAGAUAGUAUAGCAAAGGAUUAACGGCAGGGUGCUUGGCACUGAGCUAAGAGCACACUUACUAUUUUUGGAAAUAUUCCUUAAUAUAUCUUUUAAAUUACAUUAGUUUUGUUGAAUAUUUAUAGACUAUUAUGCAUAUUUAUACUUUUCUAUAAACUAGAUUACUAGAUAUUUCAGGAACUAUUUAGUAUGGCCAUUUUUUGAGUCUGCCUUUUUACAGCAUGCAUGUUUCUUGGCUGUAGUUUUAGUCUGUUCUUUUCAUCACUUUUAGUUUGGGCCUUUUUUCAGAUGGCAGAUGCUGAUAGUUAGCAUAUUAGUAGCAGGGUCUUUAUCAUAUGUUUACUGGAUGUUAUCUUGACUAAACAGACAGUUCAUGCAUAACUAUAUUAGCAACCACUACUACUGUGUCUAAGUUUUGUUAAUAGCAGAAAUAAAAGCAAAGUUAUUUUAAUAUUAUACAUAUAGCAUUUAUCUUAAUAUUUGUGAAAAGCCAAUUUUAUAAUAUGUAUUUAUAACAUAUGGCAUUCUGAAAAAAGUGGUGGGUCUUCGUAUGUUCCUCAAUUCUUAACAAAAAUUAAGUCAACAAACCCCUGAAAAUAGGUUUUGCAAAACAUCGGAUUUUUUUUCCUACUAUUAGUAGAGACAAACAUAGUCACCUUGUCUU